AAAAAGAAAAACCCUGGUUUCCGUGUUUAACGUUUGAUUGUCUGUCUUAUUUGAAAAAAUUAUAAAAAAAUAAAUAGACAAAUCACGCAUAAAAUAUUAAUCAUGUUUUAUUAUCUAACAACAAUGAAAAUACAAAUUAUAAAAAAAUUUUAUAUAAAACUGACAGCCAAAGUUGGACACGAAAAUCUAGAGUUUGCUUUUUU
rnacentral:pre_miRNA from 1 species